GUUAAAUUACGAUAUUGUAUAAAUGUAAACGCGUCUUUUUGAAUUAUCACUUUCGUUUCGUUACCGAUAUAGCACUCGGUUAUUAUGUAGUCGAUAUGGCGUGGCACCAAAAAAUUUUGUUGAAAUCGAUGGCAAGAUGAAAGGCUACAUUAAAGUCAAUAAUAAAGGCUUUAAAAGUUUAGAAAAUUGGGAAUGUAACAAGUCUGGAAGUCUUUCAUAGAAAAUGUACAAACAACCGUUAGAAGUACAAAAAUAGACAACAUUGAAGUUUAGAUGGAUCUGAUAGCAUACCAUUUAUUAAUAUACAUAAAACCCAAAAAUGGUAUAUGGAAUCUUUUUAAUUUUUCAUGAUCGAAGAAAACCAUACUACAUUGCUGGAAAUGUUCAAACUUAUACGUGAAGAAAGUGUCUAUGGAUUACUUCGAAGAGUCUAUGGAUUACUUUGUACAAAUUAAAUUUGCGCAUAUUUGAACGGUUUGAGCCGAUAUUUAUAUUAUAUAAAUUUGCGCUGGGGCCAAACAAAGAAUAAAGGAUACUAGGUAGCCAACUCAUAUAUUCCUGACCGCUUUAUUUCCCUAUAACAGCAGUGCAUAUCUCCACUAUUGACAGCGUUUGCUUUCGAAACUUCCGCCAUUGCCGACAUAUUCAUAUGUAGCUUAUAUUGUUUAGUCUCGUUUAGAUAAAUUUGCUGGAUGAGUGCUACAUCAUUUGUACAAUUGAAAUAUGUAAACUUUUUAGGAUCAAAAAUGUCAAGUACUUCAGCAGAAAAUGGAUCCACGUAAGGUAUCCUGCACUCAGAUGUGAGUACGAAAUAAUCUAUCGGUGCUAUGUCGGUCGUAGUGCCAUAAAAGUGGCGAGCAUCGAGCGUAUAGAGUAUACGUAUUACCAGAAUUAUCAAACCAAUCACUAUGAUCUGCAUUGGGUUCCAGAUUACAGCCUUAAUGUUCGGCCUUCGUGAUGUGUUCCUAUUAAUUGGCAAAUAUAUCGAUUUCAACAUUUUGUUUAUUGUUUUAUGAUUAGUGUAUACAC